UAGGGAAUCUUCGGCAAUGGGGGGAACCCUGACCGAGCAACGCCGCGUGAGUGAAGAAGGUUUUCGGAUCGUAAAGCUCUGUUGUUAAGGAAGAACGAGUGUGAGAAUGGAAAGUUCAUGCUGUGACGGUACUUAACCAGAAAGGGACGGCUAACUACGUGCCAGCAGCCGCGGUAAUACGUAGGUCCCGAGCGUUGUCCGGAUUUAUUGGGCGUAAAGCGAGCGCAGGCGGUUAGAAAAGUCUGAAGUGAAAGGCAGUGGCUCAACCAUUGUAGGCUUUGGAAACUGUUUAACUUGGGUGCAGAAGGGGAGAGUGGAAUUCCAUGUGUAGCGGUGAAAUGCGUAGAUAUAUGGAGGAACACCGGUGGCGAAAGCGGCUCGCUGGUCUGUACCUGACGCUGAGGCUCGAAAGCGUGGGGAGCGAACAGG
rnacentral:rRNA from 1 species